AUUGAACGCUGGCGGCAGGCCUAACACAUGCAAGUCGAGCGGAUGAAGGGAGCUUGCUCCUGGAUUCAGCGGCGGACGGGUGAGUAAUGCCUAGGAAUCUGCCUGGUAGUGGGGGAUAACGUCCGGAAACGGGCGCUAAUACCGCAUACGUCCUGAGGGAGAAAGUGGGGGAUCUUCGGAUCUCACGCUAUCAGAUGAGCCUAGGUCGGAUUAGCUAGUUGGUGGGGUAAAGGCCUACCAAGGCGACGAUCCGUAACUGGUCUGAGAGGAUGAUCAGUCACACUGGAACUGAGACACGGUCCAGACUCCUACGGGAGGCAGCAGUGGGGAAUAUUAGACAAUGGGCGAAAGCCUGAUCCAGCCAUGCCGCGUGUGUGAAGAAGGUCUUCGGAUUGUAAAGCACUUUAAGUUGGGAGGAAGGGCAGUAAGUUAAUACCUUGCUGUUUUGACGUUACCAACAGAAUAAGCACCGGCUAACUUCGUG
rnacentral:rRNA from 1 species